CGCGAGUCACGGGGUCUUGAACAGGCCCAGAGGCGCAGUGAAAGCGGAAGGCGAGGCUUCGGCCUCCGCCGGUCCGGGACCCGUUGGGGGCGCGACCUCUCGGGGUCUCGCCUUCGGAGCACCGGGGACCCGUCCCGUCCGACGCGUCGGUGGGGCGGAGUCGGAGCGUACACGUUGGGACCCGAAAGAUGGUGAACUAUGCCUGGGCAGGACGAAGCCAGAGGAAACUCUGGUGGAGGUCCGUAGCGGUUCUGACGUGCAAAUCGAUCGUCAGACCUUGGUAUAGGGGCGAAAGACCAAUCGAACCAUCUAGUAGCUGGUUCCCUCCGAAGUUUCCCUCAGGAUAGCUGGCGCUCGCAGGUAACCAGUCUCAUCCGGUAAAGCGAAUGAUUAGAGGCCUUGGGGCCGAAACGACCUCAACCUAUUCUCAAACUUUCAAUGGGUGAGAAGUCCGGCUUGCAUGACCGAAGCCCGGACGGCAGAGUAGAUGGAGAGCGCCCAGUGGGCCACUUUUGGUAAGCAGAACUGGCGCUGUGGGAUGAACCAAACGCCGGGUUACGGCGCCCGAUGCGAGACGCUCACGAGACCCCAUGAAAGGUGUUGGUUGCUAUAGACAGCAGGACGGUGGCCACGGAAGUCGGAACCCGCUAAGGAGUGUGUAACAACUCACCUGCCGAAGCAACUAGCCCUGAAAAUGGAUGGCGCUCCAGCGUCGAGCCCAUACCCGGCCGUCGCGGCAGAGCUCGUGCGGAGUUAAGCGGCGACGAGUAGGAGGGUCGCAGCGGCGAGCGUCGAAGGUGCCGGGCGCGAGCCCGCCUGGAGCCGCCGCUGGCGCAGAUCUUGGUGGUAGUAGCAAAUACUCAAGUGAGAACCUUGAGGACUGAGGUGGAGAAGGGUUCCAUGUGAACAGCAGUUGAACAUGGGUCAGUCGGUCCUAAGGGAUAGGAGAAAUCCGUUCCGAAGCGGGACGUUGUUGUUUGUUCGGUGUCCCGCCCGCGACCGAAAGGGAAUCGGGUCAAUAUUCCCGAACCCGGACACGGAGAUCGGGCCUUCGGGUCCUAGUGCGGCGACGCAACCGAACUCGGAGACGUCGACGGCGGUCCCGGGAAGAGUUGUCUUUUCUUUGUAAGGGUCCGGGUCCCUGGAAUCGGCUCGUCCGGAGAUAGGGAUGCUGGUCCCGUAAAGCACCGCGGCUCUUGCGGUGUCCGGAGCGCCGCCGUCGGCCCUUGAAAAUCCGAGGGAGGAAGUGUGAUUUUCGUGCCGGACCGUACCCAUAUCCGCAGCAGGU
rnacentral:rRNA from 1 species